rnacentral:rRNA from 1 species
GUGCCAGCCGCCGCGGUAAAACCAGCACCUCAAGUGGUCAGGAUGAUUAUUGGGCCUAAAGCAUCCGUAGCCGGCUCUGUUAGUUUUCGGUUAAAUCUAUAUGCUCAACAUAUAGGCCGCCGGGAAUACUACAAAGCUAGGGAGUGGGAGAGGUAGACGGUACUCCGUAGGAAGGGGUAAAAUCCUUUGAUCUAUGGAUGACCACCAGUGGCGAAGGCGGUCUACCAGAACACGUUCGACGGUGAGGGAUGAAAGCUGGGGGAGCAAACCGGAUUAGAUACCCGGGUAGUCCCAGCUGUAAACUAUGCAAACUCAGUGAUGCAUUGGCUUGUGGCCAGUGCAGUGCCGCAGAGAAGUCGUUAAGUUUGCCGCCUGGGAAGUACGUACGCAAGUAUGAAACUUAAAGGAAUUGGCGGGGGAGCACCACAAGGGGUGAAGCCUGCGGUUCAAUUGGAGUCAACGCCAGAAAUCUUACCCGGAGAGACAGCAGAAUGAAGGUCAAGCUGAAGACUUUACCAGACAAGCUGAGAAGUGGUGCAUGGCCGUCGCCAGCUCGUGCCGUGAGGUGUCCUGUUAAGUCAGGUAACGAGCGAGAUCCUUGCCUCUAGUUGCCACCAUUACUCUCAGGAGUAGUGGGGCGAAUUAGCGGGACUGCCGUAGUUAAUACGGAGGAAGGAGAGGGCCACGGCAGGUCAGUAUGCCCUGAAACUCUGGGGCCACACGCGGGCUGCAAUGGUAGUGACAAUGUGUUCCGAAUCCGAGAGGAGGAGGUAAGCCUCAAACGCUACCACAGUUAUGACUGAGGGCUGCAACUCGCCCUCACGAAUAUGGAAUCCCUAGUAACUGCGUGUCAUUACCGCGCGGUGAAUACGUCCCUGCUCCUUGCACACACCGCCCGUC